GACGAACGCUGGCGGCGUGCCUAAUACAUGCAAGUAGGACGCAGUUGCGAACGGGCGAGUAACGCGUAGGUCACUGCCUAUCAGAGGGGGAUAACUAUUGGAAACGAUAGCUAAUACCGCAUACUAGUAGAUGUACCUGCGUUGUAUUAGAUAGUAGGGGGGGGAAUGGCCUACCUAGGCGACGAUACAUAGCCGACCUGAGAGGGGUAUCAGGCACACUGGGACUGAGACACGGCCCAGAAUCCUACGGGAGGCAGCAGUAGGGAAUCGUGGGCAAUGGGGGGAACCCUGACCGAGCAACGCCGCGUUGGUGAAGAAAGUUUUCGGAUCGUAAAGCUCUUUUGUUAAGUAUGCGGUACUUAACCAGGAAGGGACGGCUAACUACGUGCCAGCAGCCGCGGUAAUAC
rnacentral:rRNA from 1 species